UACGGAGGGUGCAAGCGUUAUCCGGAUUCACUGGGUUUAAAGGGUGCGUAGGUGGGCAGGUAAGUCAGUGGUGAAAUCUCCGGGCUUAACCCGGAAACUGCCAUUGAUACUAUCUGUCUUGAAUACCGUGGAGGUGAGCGGAAUAUGUCAUGUAGCGGUGAAGUGCUUAGAUAUGACAUAGAACACCAAUUGCGAAGGCAGCUCACUACGCGAAUAUUGACACUGAGGCACGAAAGCGUGGGGAUCAAACAGG
rnacentral:rRNA from 1 species